UGGUUCCGGUUGUCCGCGCGACGAGACUAGCUAAAACCGAAACAGCGAAUGAUAUGAUAACCUAUUAUAAUUUAUUCCCAAGUAGGGAGCUAAUUGGAAAAUAGUCAUCAUCUCAGUUCGAACAAGUGUCGUUACGCCCCUUGCCGGAACUAGUUCAAUCGUUGACAAUGUAUAUUUUCAAAUAACCUUCUAUACAAAUUUUUAAUUACAUAUCGAUCUCGAAAUUUUCUCCGCUCUCCUUUCUGAGCUCGUUCUCUUCAUCUCGUUUCUCUUCAAUUAAACCCUAACCCUAAUCCUCGGCGGGCGUACACCAGGAGCCCAAAUCCGAUUCACCGAGGACCUCAUCAGCGAUAUCGAAGGGGAGCAAUCUGAGAUUCUCGGAGGGAUUGAGGGUUUAGGGCAUCAUGCCUCCAGGUACUAAUCUCCUUUCAAUGCUCUUCUUCUUCUUCUCAAUGUCUUAACUCUUGGGUAAAUUUGAAGGUAAAAGCUGAAAAUCGGCAUAUUUUAUUUGAUUAGGACAUAAAGUUGUGCUCUUUAAUUAAUUUAUUUUUCCCCCCAUUCUUUCGGUUCAAACAAGGGAAGUGAUUCUGUUUAUUUUUUGUAUCAACUGGAUACCCUGCCUGAUGACUACAUUCUACUGUUAAAAAGAUCGUUUUUCUUUUCUUUUGGCGUGUAGGCAAAGAGGGAUAGUGACGCAAAAUUGGAUUAGCCCUGGAUACUCUCCAUGAUGAGGGCAUUGAUUAGAAAAAUUCUUGCCAGGAAUUUAAUUUGAUGUUAAUGGUGGGUCACCCCUUUACACGAAGUUGUCUUGCCAGGAAUUUAAUUUGAUGUUAAUGUUGCAAGUUGCUUGGAGGAAUGCACAAGUUUCGAUGGUUUAUACCUUCAUCUAUAAUUCUUUUUAGUUAAGGUCCAUACUCUUGUUCUAAGGUAUCGAAGUGAUUAUUCUUAACUCUUAAUGGCAUUGUAGUUCAUAAGCGGUUUAGAAGUUUAAGCUGUCUAGUUAAAAACAAAUCCUUAUUCAACUUCUUUAUUCCAGUGGUAAACUGCCGAAAAUGACUGUGCCAGGUUCUUGUGACUAGUGAUUUCCAAUUAAAUUAUUUUGCUUCGGAGUCUUUGCGGGUCAGCUAAAUGGAUAACCAUAAAAUAUAUUAGGAAUGCUAUCUUCUAGCUGACAUGAUUAUUGGUUUACUUCCUGCUUUUUUUGUUUGGGAUCUGCAUUUGACUUAAUUCGGAAACAUUUCAUAUUUAAACCAUACCCUUGCACAUAUUAUUAUAAUGUAAUAUUACAGAAGAAAAAUCAUAAAUACCACAUUAAUAAGUGUAUUAAUACCAUAUACAACUUUUGCAUAUCAGGACCUUUGUCGUGAAGAUCUCUUAGUGCGUAGAAGUCCAUUGCUCACUAUUCAGCUUAACUUUACAUCCCUUUUAUUUUACCAAUUUAAGCUUCUAUUUGAUUAAAUUGUGUUGUUAUAUUUGUUUGUUGUUCCAAUUGUAUAUGAAAUCCAAGACCUGCCAUUCUCAAUUCAAUUCCUCUUAGUUUUGUUACUAUCAUUGGGAGAGCUGUGUUGGUAUACUACACCAAAGAACAUUUUUUUUUCAUUUUAUCGUUCAGUACCAGUGUCUGAGAUUUUUUGUCAAUAACAACUGAAAGCCACAGGCAGAAACAGAAGAAAAGGCUAAAAAAGGCCUUUUCAUUUGUUGGAGGGUAAAAGAUUAAACAACGUGCAAUUGAAAUUCUGCGUAGAUCUUAAAAUUAAGUCUCUGAGAUGAUCUCUUUUCUGAGGUAUUGCCAGCGACACUCUAUAGUGAGUUCUCUGUUAAUACUCAUCUUGAUCAUCGGUACACUGCAAUUUUUGGGCCUAUUAUCUGCUCCAUUGGAUACAAUAGUGUCAAGUGAUGCUAUUUUUUGUCCUUGAGUACAAGGAUUCAUACAACAGGCUGUGUAAGGGAAAAAGCUCCAUGAUAUAUUUAUCUACUGUUUGAGUAGUUGCUGUUUUAUAAUGUUAAGGUGUUAAUAUACACUAGAAAAUAUGCAUACGACUAGAUGAUUUCAUUGCAAAUGCACAUUUAAACACAUGCAUAAGAGUAAAAAAUUAGUUAUAUAUUUGAAACUAGACAACAUGCAUUUCAUGACUUCUUGAAGUUAGACAGUCUACUCAGAAAUGAAGUUUCCAAAAAUACUGGAGUUUCUGGUAUUUUACACUGUGAAAUAAGAGGUACCAAGCAACAUUGUUCUGAUUCACACAGUCCUAGCUGUUAACUCGCAUGAAUAUAUUUUAUAUAUGCAACCAAACAAACAUUCAAAUAGAUACUGCUUCUGCUUUAUAUUUCAGCAUACUUAAUACUAGUAGAAAAACCAUAUAGAAAGUUCCUUCAAUUACAGUUGAGCCAGCUGCUGCACGUUGACUGGGUACAUGUCAUUAGGAGGUCCAGUGAAUGCCCUUUGUCCGAGGAUUAAGUUCACAGCUUGUGUUGGGUGGAAAGCAUCCCAGAAGAUAUGUUGGCUCCUAUUGAGGCAGGGAACAGAAAAUGGAAGGCAGGUGAUCUGCCCCUGGAACCUUCCCAGCCCACAGCAACCCCUUUCAACAACCGUGAAACCUGCCUCCAGUAAAACUCAGACAUCUUGAUCAGCUCAUUAAUAAGCUUAGUGGAUUCAUAGGCCUUCUUCUCUAUAAAAUCUUUUUAACAGGUUAUUUUCGAUUAUGCUAAUUUGUUUUAUUUAGAUUUACAUGCACUAUGUUCUCCAUAAGUUGUUUAACAAAUAUUUUGAGUAUGCUGCUAUGUUGUUUCCAUGCAGUGACUUACCAUACGUGCUUGGGUUGUUGAGGAUGUCUCCAAGAGCACCAUAUGUGUUGCCAUAUACAAAAAUUGCCCCUGGGUGAUCAGUGUUCAGCUGU
rnacentral:lncRNA from 1 species